rnacentral:tRNA from 1 species
GAGGGUAUAGUGCAGCGGUAAAGUGCGUGCUUAGCAUGCAUGAAGUCCUGGGUUCAAUCCCCACUACCUCCA